AUACGGUGCGCGCGAGCGUUGUCCGGAAUUACUGGGUGUAAAGGGAGCGUAGGCGGGAUGGCAAGUCCGAUGUGAAAUGCAUGGGCUUAACCCAUGAGCUGCAUUUGAAACUGCAUUUCUUGAGCGAAGUAGUGGUAAGCGGAAUUCCUGGUGUAGCGGUGAAAUGCGUAGAUAUCAGGAGGAACACCGGUGGCGAAGGCGGCUUACUGGGCUUUUACUGACGCUUAGGCUCGAGAGCGUGGGGAGCAAACAGGAUUAGAUACCCUGGUAGUCCACUCUGUAAACGAUGAUUACUAGGUGUGGGGGGACUGACCCCUUCCGUGCCGCAGUUAACACAAUAAGUAAUCCACCUGGGGAGUACAGCCGCAAGGUUGAAACUUAAAUGAAUUGGCGGGG
rnacentral:rRNA from 1 species